rnacentral:rRNA from 1 species
UGGGGAAUAUUGGACAAUGGGGGGAACCCUGAUCCAGCCAUGCCGCGUGUGUGAAGAAGGCCUUAUGGUUGUAAAGCACUUUAAGCGAGGAGGAGGGUACUGGUAUUAAUACUACCAGGUACUGGACGUUACUCGCAGAAUAAGCACCGGCUAACUCUGUGCCAGCAGCCGCGGUAAUACAGAGGGUGCGAGCGUUAAUCGGAUUUACUGGGCGUAAAGCGUGCGUAGGCGGCUAAUUGAGUCGGAUGUGAAAUCCCCGAGCUUAACUUGGGAAUUGCAUUCGGUACUGGUAAGCUAGAGUGUGGGAGAGGAUGGUAGAAUUCCAGGUGUAGCGGUGAAAUGCGUAGGGAUCAGGAGGAAUACCGAUGGCGAAGGCAGCCAUCUGGCCUAACACUGACGAUGAGGUACGAAAGCAUGGGGAGCAAACAGG